GAUUUUGUAGUGUAGUUGGUUAUAUCACUAGUUUAACACACCGGCGGUUCCAGGUUCGAGCCAGGCUGAAAUCU